rnacentral:SRP_RNA from 1 species
GCUGGGCACAUACCUAUAGUCUCAACUACUCUGGAGGCUGAGACUGGAGGAUCACUUGAGCCCAGGAGUUCUGACCUUUAGUGUGCUAUGCCAAUCAGGUGUCCACAGUAAGUUCGGCAUCAAUAUGGUGACCUCCAGGGAGCAGGGACCACCAGGUUGCCUAAGGAGGGGUGAACCAGCCCAGGUAGGAAACAGAACAGGUCAAAACUCUUGUGCUGAUCGGUAGUGGGAUAAUGCCUGUGAAUAGCCACUGCACCCUGGCCUGGGCAACACACACAAACACAC